rnacentral:rRNA from 1 species
GGCUUAACACAUGCGGGUCGAGCGGGGNNGAGUAGCUUGCUACUUUACCUAGCGGCGGACGGGUGAGUAAUGCUUAGGAAUCUGCCUAUUAGUGGGGGACAACAUCUCGAAAGGGAUGCUAAUACCGCAUACGUCCUACGGGAGAAAGCAGGGGACCUUCGGGCUUGCGCUAAUAGAUGAGCCUAAGUCGGAUUAGCUAGUUGGUGGGGUAAAGGCCUACCAAGGCGACGAUCUGUAGCGGGUCUGAGAGGAUGAUCCGCCACACUGGGACUGAGACACGGCCCAGACUCUACGGGAGGCAGCAGUGGGGAAUAUUGGACAAUGGGGGGAACCCUGAUCCAGCCAUGCCGCGUGUGUGAAGAAGGCCUUUUGGUUGUAAAGCACUUUAAGCGAGGAGGAGGCUACCGAGAUUAAUACUCUUGGAUAGUGGACGUUACUCGCAGCAAAAGCACCGGCUAACUCUGUGCCAGCAGCCGCGGUAAUACAGAGGGUGCAAGCGUUAAUCGGAUUUACUGGGCGUAAAGCGCGCGUAGGUGGCCAAUUAAGUCAAAUGUGAAAUCCCCGAGCUUAACUUGGGAAUUGCAUUCGAUACUGGUUGGCUAGAGNAUGGGAGAGGA